AAGUGCACUUAUCGCUUUACGCCA
rnacentral:siRNA from 1 species